CUCCUACGGGAGGCAGCAGUGAGGAAUAUUGGUCAAUGGGCGAGAGCCUGAACCAGCCAAGUAGCGUGCAGGAAGACGGCCCUAUGGGUUGUAAACUGCUUUUGUGCGGGAAUAAAGCGGGUCACGUGUGNCCCUUUGCAUGUACCGUACGAAUAAGGACCGGCUAAUUCCGUGCCAGCAGCCGCGGUAAUACGGAAGGUCCGGGCGUUAUCCGGAUUUAUUGGGUUUAAAGGGAGCGUAGGCCGUCUCAAAAGCGUGUUGUGAAAUGUCCGGGCUCAACCGGGGCCGUGCAGCGCGAACUGUGAGACUUGAGUGUGCGGAAGGUAUGCGGAAUUCGUGGUGUAGCGGUGAAAUGCAUAGAUAUCACGAAGAACUCCGAUUGCGAAGGCAGCAUGCCGCAGCAUUACUGACGCUGAUGCUCGAAGGUGCGGGUAUCGAACAGGAUUAGAUACCCUGGUAGUCCGCACAGUAAACGAUGGAUGCCCGCUGUGAGCCUGUUUAAUGGUUUGCGGCCAAGCGAAAGCGUAAGCAUCCCACCUGGGAG
rnacentral:rRNA from 1 species